GGGUUGUGAGGUUAAGCGACUAAGCGUACACGGUGGAUGCCCUGGCAGUCAGAGGCGAUGAAGGACGUGCUAAUCUGCGAUAAGCGUCGGUAAGGUGAUAUGAACCGUUAUAACCGGCGAUUUCCGAAUGGGGAAACCCAGUGUGAUUCGUCACACUAUCAUUAACUGAAUCCAUAGGUUAAUGAGGCGAACCGGGGGAACUGAAACAUCUAAGUACCCCGAGGAAAAGAAAUCAACCGAGAUUCCCCCAGUAGCGGCGAGCGAACGGGGAGGAGCCCAGAGCCUGAAUCAGUGUGUGUGUUAGUGGAAGCGUCUGGAAAGGCGCGCGAUACAGGGUGACAGCCCCGUACACAAAAAUGCACAUACUGUGAGCUCGAUGAGUAGGGCGGGACACGUGGUAUCCUGUCUGAAUAUGGGGGGACCAUCCUCCAAGGCUAAAUACUCCUGACUGACCGAUAGUGAACCAGUACCGUGAGGGAAAGGCGAAAAGAACCCCGGCGAGGGGAGUGAAAAAGAACCUGAAACCGUGUACGUACAAGCAGUGGGAGCCUCUUUAUGGGGUGACUGCGUACCUUUUGUAUAAUGGGUCAGCGACUUAUAUUCUGUAGCAAGGUUAACCGAAUAGGGGAGCCGAAGGGAAACCGAGUCUUAACUGGGCGUUAAGUUGCAGGGUAUAGACCCGAAACCCGGUGAUCUAGCCAUGGGCAGGUUGAAGGUUGGGUAACACUAACUGGAGGACCGAACCGACUAAUGUUGAAAAAUUAGCGGAUGACUUGUGGCUGGGGGUGAAAGGCCAAUCAAACCGGGAGAUAGCUGGUUCUCCCCGAAAGCUAUUUAGGUAGCGCCUCGUGAAUUCAUCUCCGGGGGUAGAGCACUGUUUCGGCAAGGGGGUCAUCCCGACUUACCAACCCGAUGCAAACUGCGAAUACCGGAGAAUGUUAUCACGGGAGACACACGGCGGGUGCUAACGUCCGUCGUGAAGAGGGAAACAACCCAGACCGCCAGCUAAGGUCCCAAAGUCAUGGUUAAGUGGGAAACGAUGUGGGAAGGCCCAGACAGCCAGGAUGUUGGCUUAGAAGCAGCCAUCAUUUAAAGAAAGCGUAAUAGCUCACUGGUCGAGUCGGCCUGCGCGGAAGAUGUAACGGGGCUAAACCAUGCACCGAAGCUGCGGCAGCGACGCUAAGCGUUGUUGGGUAGGGGAGCGUUCUGUAAGCCUGCGAAGGUGUGUUGUGAGGCAUGCUGGAGGUAUCAGAAGUGCGAAUGCUGACAUAAGUAACGAUAAAGCGGGUGAAAAGCCCGCUCGCCGGAAGACCAAGGGUUCCUGUCCAACGUUAAUCGGGGCAGGGUGAGUCGACCCCUAAGGCGAGGCCGAAAGGCGUAGUCGAUGGGAAACAGGUUAAUAUUCCUGUACUUGGUGUUACUGCGAAGGGGGGACGGAGAAGGCUAUGUUGGCCGGGCGACGGUUGUCCCGGUUUAAGCGUGUAGGCUGGUUUUCCAGGCAAAUCCGGAAAAUCAAGGCUGAGGCGUGAUGACGAGGCACUACGGUGCUGAAGCGACAAAUGCCCUGCUUCCAGGAAAAGCCUCUAAGCAUCAGGUAACAUCAAAUCGUACCCCAAACCGACACAGGUGGUCAGGUAGAGAAUACCAAGGCGCUUGAGAGAACUCGGGUGAAGGAACUAGGCAAAAUGGUGCCGUAACUUCGGGAGAAGGCACGCUGAUAUGUAGGUGAAGCGACUUGCUCGUGGAGCUGAAAUCAGUCGAAGAUACCAGCUGGCUGCAACUGUUUAUUAAAAACACAGCACUGUGCAAACACGAAAGUGGACGUAUACGGUGUGACGCCUGCCCGGUGCCGGAAGGUUAAUUGAUGGGGUUAGCGGUAACGCGAAGCUCUUGAUCGAAGCCCCGGUAAACGGCGGCCGUAACUAUAACGGUCCUAAGGUAGCGAAAUUCCUUGUCGGGUAAGUUCCGACCUGCACGAAUGGCGUAAUGAUGGCCAGGCUGUCUCCACCCGAGACUCAGUGAAAUUGAACUCGCUGUGAAGAUGCAGUGUACCCGCGGCAAGACGGAAAGACCCCGUGAACCUUUACUAUAGCUUGACACUGAACAUUGAGCCUUGAUGUGUAGGAUAGGUGGGAGGCUUUGAAGUGUGGACGCCAGUCUGCAUGGAGCCGACCUUGAAAUACCACCCUUUAAUGUUUGAUGUUCUAACGUUGGCCCCUUAUCGGGGUUGCGGACAGUGUCUGGUGGGUAGUUUGACUGGGGCGGUCUCCUCCUAAAGAGUAACGGAGGAGCACGAAGGUUGGCUAAUCCUGGUCGGACAUCAGGAGGUUAGUGCAAUGGCAUAAGCCAGCUUGACUGCGAGCGUGACGGCGCGAGCAGGUGCGAAAGCAGGUCAUAGUGAUCCGGUGGUUCUGAAUGGAAGGGCCAUCGCUCAACGGAUAAAAGGUACUCCGGGGAUAACAGGCUGAUACCGCCCAAGAGUUCAUAUCGACGGCGGUGUUUGGCACCUCGAUGUCGGCUCAUCACAUCCUGGGGCUGAAGUAGGUCCCAAGGGUAUGGCUGUUCGCCAUUUAAAGUGGUACGCGAGCUGGGUUUAGAACGUCGUGAGACAGUUCGGUCCCUAUCUGCCGUGGGCGCUGGAGAACUGAGGGGGGCUGCUCCUAGUACGAGAGGACCGGAGUGGACGCAUCACUGGUGUUCGGGUUGUCAUGCCAAUGGCACUGCCCGGUAGCUAAAUGCGGAAGAGAUAAGUGCUGAAAGCAUCUAAGCACGAAACUUGCCCCGAGAUGAGUUCUCCCUGACUCCUUGAGAGUCCUGAAGGAACGUUGAAGACGACGACGUUGAUAGGCCGGGUGUGUAAGCGCAGCGAUGCGUUGAGCUAACCGGUACUAAUGAACCGUGAGGCUUAACCUUACAACGCCGAAG
rnacentral:rRNA from 1 species